GAGCUAACGCGUUAAGUCGACCGCCUGGGGAGUACGGCCGCAAGGUUAAAACUCAAAUGAAUUGACGGGGGCCCGCACAAGCGGUGGAGCAUGUGGUUUAAUUCGAUGCAACGCGAAGAACCUUACCUGGUCUUGACAUCCACGGAAGUUUUCAGAGAUGAGAAUGUGCCUUCGGGAACCGUGAGACAGGUGCUGCAUGGCUGUCGUCAGCUCGUGUUGUGAAAUGUUGGGUUAAGUCCCGCAACGAGCGCAACCCUUAUCCUUUGUUGCCAGCGGUCCGGCCGGGAACUCAAAGGAGACUGCCAGUGAUAAACUGGAGGAAGGUGGGGAUGACGUCAAGUCAUCAUGGCCCUUACGACCAGGGCUACACACGUGCUACAAUGGCGCAUACAAAGAGAAGCGACCUCGCGAGAGCAAGCGGACCUCAUAAAGUGCGUCGUAGUCCGGAUUGGAGUCUGCAACUCGACUCCAUGAAGUCGGAAUCGCUAGUAAUCGUGGAUCAGAAUGCCACGGUGAAUACGUUCCCGGGCCUUGUACACACCGCCCGUCACACCAUGGGAGUGGGUUGCAAAAGAAGUAGGUAGCUUAACCUUCGGGAGGGCGCUUACCACUUUGUGAUUCAUGACUGGGGUGAAGUCGUAACAAGGUAACCGUAGGGGAACCUGCGGUUGGAUCACCUCCUUACCUUAA
rnacentral:rRNA from 1 species